AACGAACGCUGGCGGCAUGCCUAACACAUGCAAGUCGAACGAAGCCUUCGGGCUUAGUGGCGCACGGGUGCGUAACGCGUGGGAAUCUGCCCCUUGCUUCGGAAUAACAGUUAGAAAUGACUGCUAAUACCGGAUGAAGUCUUCGGACCAAAGAUUUAUCGGCAAGGGAUGAGCCCGCGUAGGAUUAGGUAGUUGGGGGGGUAAAGGCCUACCAAGCCGACGAUCCUUAGCUGGUCGGAGAGGAGGACAAGCCACACUGGGACUGAGACACGGCCCAGAAUCCUACGGGAGGCAGCAGUGGGGAAUAUUGGACAAUGGACGCAAGUCUGAUCCAGCAAUGCCGCGUGAGUGAUGAAGGCCUUAGGGUUGUAAAGCUCUUUUACCAGGGAUGAUAAUGACAGUACCUGGAGAAUAAGCACCGGCUAACUCCGUG
rnacentral:rRNA from 1 species